GACGAACGCUGGCGGCGUGCCUAAUACAUGCAAGUCGAGCGAAGCGGCGGAUGGGUGAGUAACGCGUGGGUAACCUGCCCUUCAGCCUGGGAUACCAUUUGGACACAGAUGCUAAUACCGGAUACUAAAGGAUGGACCUUCGAUGCAUUAGCUAGUUGGUAAGGUAACGGCUUACCAAGGCGAAGAUGCAUAGCCGGGGUGAGAGACUGAUCGGUCACAUUGGGACUGAGACACGGUCCAGACUCCUACGGGAGGCAGCAGUGGGGAAUAUUGCACAAUGGGCGCAAGCCUGAUGCAGCCAUGCCGCGUGUAUGAAGAAGGCCUUCGGGUUGUAAAGUACUUUCAGCGAGGAGGCGUUACUCGCAGAAGAAGCACCGGCUAACUCCGUGCCAGCAGCCGCGGUAAUUC
rnacentral:rRNA from 1 species